UGUCCUUCCUAUCUAACCCCAUUCAUUCAUUCAACUUACAACGCCUCCACCACUCAUAUUCAUCCGAACCUCCUCUCUCUCUCUAUCUUUCUUUCUCUCUCUCUCUGCAAAAUUCAAUUUCUACUUCUCUACUAAAUCUGUUUUAUCAAGAAAAAAUAUAAAAAAUUUGGUUUCGUUCCCAUCUCUGCAAAAUUCAGUCUAAACUAUUUUUCUCUUGCUCUGUUUUGCAGAUCAAUUAUGGAUCUCCUUUACAAACGCAGGCUUCAUAUGCAAGAUUAGGCAUAGAUCUUUUCAUUCUUUGUAAAGGCAGCAUUCAACACGGCAAGCAAGGUAUGGACCUUGGAUGGACACCAAUCUAGUACUCCCACUAGGACCCAGGAGAUGUCAAAUGGUAUUUGACUACUUUCUUGAAGCUUCUCUUAAGGUCCCCAUGUUGCUAACAAGUUCUAACUGGUUUUAGUUAGCCCUUGUGGCACGCCUUGCCCUGGCCUGCCUUAUAGCUGCAGUUCGAGCUUGCUGCUUCUCCCUUUUCCUCUCAGAUUUGCUCUUCUUCUCCUUGAAGUAACCUGCCUUCUCUGCAUCUGGAACUGGAGCUGAACCAGCAGUGCCACUACAAAUUGAAGUUGACAGUUUUGCAAGGAUUCAAAGAACUACAGAGACACCCAAAAAAUAUAAAGAAAAAGAAAAAGAAAUUUGUAUUGGUCUAAUGUUUGUUCCUUUUUUCCUAACUCUAAUAUGAGCAUCACAUAUACAGUUUCUAUUCAUUUUUAACUGAACUUUUACUUUAUGAUUUGAGUUCA